ACCCGAAGCCUCCGGAGCCCAGCGGGAGUUCCCGCUGGGCUCUGGAGGCUUUGGGU
rnacentral:miRNA from 1 species